GGCCAACCAGUAGAGAUAAAAUGAUAAAUGGCCUGUAUUUGUAUAGCGCUUUACUAGUCCAUAAGGACCCCAAAGCGCUUUACACACCCAGUCAUCCACCCAUCCAUUCACACACUGGUGAUGGCAAGCUACAUUGUAGCCACAGCUGCCCUGGGGCGCACUGACAGAGCUGAGGCUGCCGGACACUGGCGCCACCAGGCCCUUUGACCACCACCAGUAGGCAACGGGUGAAGUGUCUUGACCAAGGACACAACGACCGAGACUGUCCAAGCCGGGGCUCGAACUGACAACCUUCCGAUUACAAGGCAGACUCCCAACUCUUGAGCCACGACCGCCUAUAAAAGAACAGAAAGAAUGAAAAGAUCUCAAAAUAUUGAAAAUUUCUUCCUUAAGAAGGCUAAAAUACAACCAGAAGCAGAGAGCAAUGUCAGGGAAAGGUGGACUGAGCAGCAGUCAUCAUUGUCACCUGUGAGUUCUACAAAUGAAGGCACUUCUUCACCUGUUCAUGAUCAACCAGAUAACCAGGAUGUGGUGCCUUUUGAAACAUCUUCUCCUUCAACAUCAUGUACGACACGGGGCCAUCCACAUGGUUUGCUGUCACACCUGGAUGCACAGCUGGAGUCACUUCCUCUUCAUCAGUGGAGGAACUUUAAUCCUGUGUUAGUAGGAAUUCUGUGGUUAGAUCUUUUUUGCAUUGGUGAACUGGGUUAA
rnacentral:lncRNA from 1 species